rnacentral:lncRNA from 1 species
GGACUGUGCAUGGUGAACCAAAGUCAGAACUUGGAACUUGCAAUGAGGUCAUUGGCUAGGCUCCCGCUGGAGGCUGACCAUAGGCCUUGAAAGGCUUCCCCUAGCAGCAUCUCCUUUUCUAGCGUCCAGGUAAGAACUUGGUAGGUUUUGCUACUUAGCCAGCCACCACCCUGAAACCAUCUGUCAGCCAGCUGGAUGUCUUCUUCCCCCUAGGAUGACAUUAUCUAGACUAUUAGGACAAAUAACAUUGUGUAACAUCAUCAAGCCAUGAUGUUCAGAUUUCAGGAAGCUGAAUUGCCCAAGAGAUGUGGGCAGAUUUUUCUCUCGAGCAGUUGAGUAUAUUCAAAGAUCUCUAUUUAAAAAAGAUUAGGAAAAUGUAAAUGUGCAUUCUUCCCUAGAAGUGGGAACAACAGGAUGCAAGAGUCCUGGAGCUGCUGAAGGAAUAGUGCCAUCCACAUGCUUCGAUAUAAUCUGGAAAGCUAGCAGAUGGUAUUGGUGUGGACAGAAACUAAUAAACAAAUAUCAUGGUCUUGUUAACCAUCUUCUCCCCAGCACCAAGCCCGGUGCCUGGGAAGCAAGAAGUCAAGUACACUGGUGGCAGUAGGAGUCACGGACAUCUCUAAAACAAUAGCCUCUUAAUUGGCCUCCCUGCUUCCACCCCAGCUCCUCUGCAGUUUCUGCACAUCCGGCAGCCACAUAAUUACUGAGCACUAUGAACCAGAGCUGGGAGUCGUCAGAUCUCCUCAGUGACUUUUUUUUUAAAAUAUUUAUUUUUUAGUUUUCGGCGGACACAACAUCUUUGUUUUUAUGUGGUGCUGAGGAUCGAACCCGGGCCGCGCGCAUGCCAGGCGAGCGCGCUACCGCUUAAGCCACAUCCCCAGCCCUCCUCCUCAGUGACUUUAAUUCCCACUCAGCAAAAGCCCAGGUGCUUGCAAAUAUUGAUAAGGCCCCGCAAGAUGGGCCUGUUUGUCUCUUUGAAUCUUUCUCCUCUUCUCUGCAGUGUUGAAUCCCCUCCAUCUGCUCUGUUUUUUUGGGUCCCUCCAGAUGCCAGAUGCAUUGCCACCUGGAUUCAUUCAUCCCUGAGCUGAUCCCCUCCCUGGGAGGUCCUCCCCAAGAUAUUGCCCUCUGCUCACUUUCUUUAAGGUGCAAAAUUUACAGCUGACCCCACCCUGCCCAGUCUGGACUCAUCCUCUGUAAUCUACCUUUCUGUGUAAUACUUGCAACAUUCUAAUAAAUCAUUUAUUUUGCUUACUGUCUAUCUUGUCUCACUUAAGUU